GGCCCUGUAAUCUACUGCCAGAGCACAGAAUGUCCAGAUUCUAAUUAAGCCCUGACCACUUGGUGUUUACUUUUAUUACUCUAAUACCAAGAGGCCCCAGUAAGAUUGGAGCCAAUUGUGCUAUGUGCUGCACACACUCAGAGUCAUUGCCUGACAGAACUCACAGAACAGAGCAGGGAGAAAGAAAGUAUUAUUUUCCACAGCAGCAAAAAGAGCCUCAGUUUUGCUGCUGUUCUCCUUGAGGCAUUAGUCCUGAGAAACAAGGAAUAAACCUGUACCGUAUGAGUAGUCUGAGCAGAUGAAAGCAUGCAAAUAUCCUUCUAUCUCCUAUUUUAUCUUUCCCUGUGACACUGUGCUUCUUUCCCAACAAGAAUAACAGUGAUAAAAAUAACAGUGAAGUCAGCACUGGGCAGGGAUGCCGUGGUGUCUGGAGCACCAGAAGCACUGAAAGCAGGCAAGAGUCUUUCUUGAGCUCAGGCUCCCAUAGCCAGAGCAACCGCUUGGCAAAAGACAGGAGAAGGAUUGUAUCUGUCAGAGUAACUUUUAUGGGACCCAACUCUUCCAGGGAUUGUUUCAAAUCCACAAAAUGCUCUUGAGUGUUAAUACCAGCACUGGGACAUUUGCGUUAGCAGGUAAAUGUGCAAGAACACGUUUCUAGACAUCUGCAAUGUUACUGCACAUCUGAGCAGUCUGCUGAAACUUGGUCCAAGGUCCACGAGGUCCUUGGGCUCCUGAAAUGACUUCCAAGGUUUGUAAUAAAUUGUGCUGCUGAAGCGAAGUGCAGUUAAGCAAUUCUCACAUGAUAGAAACAACGUGUGGUGUACUAAACUAAAACCAGUCAAUGUUAUUUUAACUUUUUAGCCUUUUAAAGUGUUUGGAAGGGAACAGAGAUAUUAUCCUUAAGAAAUUUGUACCUACAGAUGUUGUGAAAAAAAGCAGAAAACAUAGGAUGAUACCACCCUCACUGUUAAAGUCAAUAAUAUUGAUAUAUAAUACUGAUCUUUGCUGUGCUUUGUGUUACCCAGAAGUGAGGAAGAUGGCUGUGAUUGUUCAGGUGGGGAAUAUAACACUGCUGUACUGCAAGUGGAUACUGUGAAGGCUUGUAUAUAAAUCAACAUUAUGUGGAAAAGAACCCUUUGGGCUUAACCACAUUUUAGCACAAUUGAGAUUAGUGGUUCCAUAAGGCUGGUGAGCAAGAAUCCUCUGUGAGAGGAUGCAGAUUUUGCUGUAAUUCAGGCCAGGAUUAACUGGGCAAAAAAGGCUGGAGAACUCUUGUUUCUUGCAUAUUCCUUGCCUUCAUGUGUGAGGUAGGUGCUGAGCACUCUUGUGACUCUAGAGAUGACUCCAGAUGACUGUAGGGUUAGGUCACAGCUGACCACACAGAUAUUAGGAAUACACUUAAGUGUCAACUUCUACAAAGUCUAUUAGUCAUCUAUGACUUCA
ensembl:lncRNA